UACUGCAUUUAUUUGUCAUCAAUCAUGAUUAUGAUCAUACGAUGCCUCAGGUAAAACUAUAUAUAAUUUAAAGACGACAAGAAUCAUAGCAGACAAUACCUGUAUUUGUUAAGGAGCGGACGAAUGCCCGACCUCGAAAUGGCAGUUACACAAAUAGGUUGUCUUCUUCUACUAUUUCUCACACGAGUGGAUGGUCAAGCCUGUAAUUUGCCCGGGAUCUCAUGUGUUGGGAUGAGUAGCUGUAACCCCAUUGGAGUUUUGGCAGCUCGUAUGUGUCCACCUAGUGAGGUGUGCUGUGUCGGUGCCCUUACUUUAGCAACAACGACCUUGGCACUCGGAUAACAGACGUAGAAAAUAAAUUGAGGGAAGUAUUGCAGCUUGGAUAUUAUAUGGUAUAGCAACAGCGAUGAUGAUUAACGGAUUCAACACAAGCCCAAGAGCACACGUCCUUAGUUGUCUGUGGGGAUGUAUAUGAAUAAAGAAGUUACUCUGCUAUGCCUUGUUCAUUCAACUGAAACAUUGUCGGCAUAACACCAGACAAGGGAGUCGAGAACCAGUG